rnacentral:rRNA from 1 species
CCUACGGGAGGCAGCAGUGGGGGAUAUUGCACAAUGGGGGAAACCCUGAUGCAGCGACGCCGCGUGUAGGAAGACGGUCCUCUGGAUUGUAAACUACUGUCCCCAGGGACGAAGAUGACGGUACCUGGGGAGGAAGCUCCGGCUAACUACGUGCCAGCAGCCGCGGUAAUACGUAGGGAGCGAGCGUUGUCCGGAAUUACUGGGUGUAAAGGGAGCGGAGGCGGGGAUGCAAGUUGGGUGUUAAAUCUACCGGCUCAACUGGUAGUCGAACUCAAAACUGCAGCUCUUGAGUGAAGUAGAGGCAGGCGGAAUUCCUGGGGUAGCGGUGAAAGGCGUAGAUAUGAGGAGGAACACCAGUGGCGAAGGCGGCCUGCUGGGCUUUUACUGACGCUGAGGCUCGAAAGUGUGGGGAGCAAACAGGAUUAGAUACCCCUGUAGUC